CUUCACCCUUGUGACAUACCUAUAACUGUUGCUUCGGCGGGCAGGGUCUCCGUGACCCUCCCGGCCUCCCGCCCCCGGGCGGGUCGGCGCCCGCCGGAGGAUAACCAAACUCUGAUUUAACGACGUUUCUUCUGAGUGGUACAAGCAAAUAAUCAAAACUUUUAACAACGGAUCUCUUGGUUCUGGCAUCGAUGAAGAACGCAGCGAAAUGCGAUAAGUAAUGUGAAUUGCAGAAUUCAGUGAAUCAUCGAAUCUUUGAACGCACAUUGCGCCCGCCAGCAUUCUGGCGGGCAUGCCUGUUCGAGCGUCAUUUCAACCCUCAAGCUCUGCUUGGUGUUGGGGCCCUACAGCUGAUGUAGGCCCUCAAAGGUAGUGGCGGACCCUCCCGGAGCCUCCUUUGCGUAGUAACUUUACGUCUCGCACUGGGAUCCGGAGGGACUCUUGCCGUAAAACCCCCAAUUUUCCAAAGGUUGACCUCGGAUCAGGUAGGAAUACCCGCUGAACUUAAGCAUAUCAAUAAGCGGAGGAAUU
rnacentral:rRNA from 1 species